rnacentral:rRNA from 1 species
GAUGAACGCUAGCGGCAGGCUUAAUACAUGCAAGUCGAGGGGCAUCACAGGUAGCAAUACUGGGUGGCGACCGGCAAACGGGUGCGGAACACGUACAGAACCUUCCUUCAAGUGGGGGAUAGCCCAUGGAAACGUGGAUUAAUACCCCAUAGAAUAUAGAUGUGGCACCAUGUUUAUAUUAAAGAUUUAUUGCUUGAAGAUGGCUGUGCGUAUGAUUAGGUAGUUGGCGGGGUAACGGCCCACCAAGCCUUCGAUCAUUAACUGGUGUGAGAGCACGACCAGUCACACGGGCACUGAGACACGGGCCCGACUCCUACGGGAGGCAGCAGUAAGGAAUAUUGGUCAAUGGACGCAAGUCUGAACCAGCCAUGCCGCGUGAAGGAUGAAGGUCCUCUGGAUUGUAAACUUCUUUUAUAGGGGGCGAAAAAAGGGUUUUCUAACUCACUUGACAGUACCCUAUGAAUAAGCACCGGCUAACUCCGUGCCAGCCGCCGCGGUAACAC